CCUGCGAAAAGCUACGGGGAGCUGGCAAACGAGCUUUGAUCCGUAGAUAUCCGAAUGGGGAAACCCGGCGCGCAAGCGUCACUCCCACCUGAAUAUAUAGGGUGGGUAGAGCGAACGCAGCGAACUGAAACAUCUAAGUAGCUGCAGGAAAAGAAAUCAACCGAGAUUCCCAAAGUAGUGGCGAGCGAAAUGGGAAGAGCCUGUAUGUGAUAGUCAACUGGUUAGUGGAACGGAAUGGAAAGUCCGGCGAUAGAGGGUGAUAGCCCCGUACACGAAAACUGGUUGGUGGUACUGAGCAUACGACAAGUAGGGCGGGGCACGAGAAACCCUGUCUGAACAUGGGGGGACCAUCCUCCAAGGCUAAAUACUCGUAAUCGACCGAUAGUGAACCAGUACCGUGAGGGAAAGGCGAAAAGAACCCCGGGAGGGGAGUGAAAUAGAACCUGAAACCGUGUGCAUACAAACAGUGGGAGCGGACUUGUUCCGUGACUGCGUACCUUUUGUAUAAUGGGUCAGCGACUUACGUUCAGUAGCGAGCUUAACCGAGUAGGGGAGGG
rnacentral:rRNA from 1 species